AUUGAACGCUGGCGGCAUGCCUUACACAUGCAAGUCGAACGGUAACAAGUCUUCGGAUGCUGACGAGUGGCGAACGGGUGAGUAAUACAUCGGAACGUGCCUAGUAGUGGGGGAUAACUACUCGAAAGAGUGGCUAAUACCGCAUGAGAUCUACGGAUGAAAGCAGGGGAUCGCAAGACCUUGUGCUACUAGAGCGGCCGAUGGCAGAGUAGGUAGUUGGUGGGAUAAAAGCUUACCAAGCCGACGAUCUGUAGCUGGUCUGAGAAGACGGUCAGCCACACUGUGACUGAGACACGGCCCAGACUCCUACGGAAGGCAGCAGUGGGGAAUUUUGGACAAUGGUCGACAGCCUGAUCCAGCAAUGCCGCGUGCAGGAUGAAGGCCUUCGGGUUGUAAACUGCUUUUGUACGGAACGAAAAGCCCCGGGUUAAUACCCUGGGGUCAUGACGGUACCGUAAGAAUAAGCACCGGCUAACUACGUGCCAGCAGCCGCGGUAA
rnacentral:rRNA from 1 species